GAGACAUCACGACAGAACGGAAGCUGCUAACUUCCUGUUCAAGCGGUUAAAGUCCGUUUAAGUCUCU
rnacentral:tRNA from 1 species